rnacentral:rRNA from 1 species
AUUGAACGCUAGCGGGAUGCUUUACACAUGCAAGUCGAACGGCAGCGCGGACUUCGGUCUGGCGGCGAGUGGCGAACGGGUGAGUAAUGUAUCGGAACGUGCCCAGUAGCGGGGGAUAACUACGCGAAAGCGUAGCUAAUACCGCAUACGCCCUACGGGGGAAAGCAGGGGAUCGUAAGACCUUGCACUUUUGGAGCGGCCGAUAUCGGAUUAGCUAGUUGGUGAGGUAACGGCUCACCAAGGCGACGAUCCGUAGCUGGUUUGAGAGGACGACCGGCCACACUGGAACUGAGACACGGCCCAGACUCCUACGGGAGGCAGCAGUGGGGAAUUUUGGACAAUGGGGGCAACCCUGAUCCAGCCAUCCCGCGUGUGCGAUGAAGGCCUUCGGGUUGUAAAGCACUUUUAGCAGGAAAGAAACGUCGCGGGCGAAAACCCCGUGGAACUGACGGUACCUGCAGAAAAAGCACCGGCUAACUACGUG